rnacentral:rRNA from 1 species
UACGUAGGCAGCGGGCGUUGUUCGGAGUUACUGGGCGUAAAGGGUGCGUAGGCGGUUGUUUAAGUUUGGUGUGAAAUCUCCCGGCUCAACUGGGAGGGUGCGCCGAAUACUGAAUGACUAGAGUGCGGGAGAGGAGAGUGGAAUUCCUGGUGUAGCGGUGAAAUGCGUAGAUAUCAGGAGGAACACCGGUGGUGUAGACGGCUCUCUGGACCGUAACUGACGCUGAGGCACGAAAGCGUGGGUAGCAAACAGG